UUUCCGUAGGUGAACCUGCGGAAGGAUCAUUAGUGAAUAACACGCUUGGGUGUCUCUGCUUCGGCAAGCCCCUCGCACCUUCACAUCCAUAACACCUGUGAACUGUAAGAUGGCCCUCUGGGCCGUCUGACCUUUUUUACAAACAACUAUACGUACCUAAUGUAGUCUUAUUAUAACAAAAUAAAACUUUCAACAACGGAUCUCUUGGCUCACACAUCGAUGAAGAACGCAGC
rnacentral:misc_RNA from 1 species